GAGAGUGGGUAGUCCGCACGAGCGCACCCUAUCUUCAGUUGCCAUCAGGUUAUGCUGGGCACUCUGAAGAGACUGCCGGUGAUAAGCCGGAGGAAGGCGGGGAUGACGUCAAGUCCUCAUGGCCCUUAUGACCUGGGCUACACACGUGCUACAAUGGCGUUGACAAUGAGCAGCGAUAGCGUAAGCUUCAGCUAACCUCAAAAAUACGUCUCAGUUCGGAUAGAUCUCUGCAACUCGAGUUCUUGAAGUUGGAAUCGCUAGUAAUCGCAGAUCAGCAUGCUGCGGUGAAUACGUUCCCGGGCCUUGUACACACCGCCCGUCACACCAUGGAAGUUGGUUUUACCCAAAGACGACAAGCUAACCGCAAGGAGGCAGUCGGCUACGGUAGGGUCAGCGACUGGGGUGAAGUCGUAACAAGGUAGCCGUACCGGAAGGUGUGGCUGGAUCACCUCCUUUCU
rnacentral:rRNA from 1 species